rnacentral:tRNA from 1 species
CCCCUGGUGGUCUAGUGGUUAGGAUGCGGCCUCUCACCACCAAGGCCCAGGUUCGAUUCCCGGUCAGGGGG